CAAGAGUGUACUUAAUGCAAAGCAACUUCCUGAAAGGAAGCUCAGAGUAUGGUAAAAUGGCCCAAAAAGCUGAUGUCAGUGAUCUGAACCACAGAUAGGAGAGAGGCCUGGGCCUGGGCCAAUUCAGAGCUCCAUGCUUUUUAGAAGACCUGAGGGGGGCUAUUUAACUCCUCUUUAAUAGAAAAGAAAACAAACGUCAACACGCCACACUCUGGAGAUUUGAAGUACUGAAGCUUCAGGACUCAGUAUUCAGUUCCCACCGGAGAACUGGCUGUAUCACAUUGCAGUGACUCAUCCAGUGUCUGCCUUCCGCCUAUGGUCUGGUCUUCUUGAGGGCAGGGAAAAACCUCUUCUUAACCAUCUCUGCAGGCUCAUAAAGUCUUGGGAGAAUUAUACUGACUCGAUCAUUGUGGGUUGAUGAACUCAGCAAGUAUUUGAGAAG
rnacentral:lncRNA from 1 species